rnacentral:rRNA from 1 species
GUCCUGGAUACUUGUACGGCGAGUGAAGCGGUAAAAGCUCAAAUUUGAAAUCUGGUACUUUCAGUGCCCGAGUUGUAAUUUGUAGAAUUUGUCUUUGAUUAGGUCCUUGUCUAUGUUCCUUGGAACAGGACGUCAUAGAGGGUGAGAAUCCCGUUUGGCGAGGAUACCUUUUCUCUGUAAGACUUUUUCGAAGAGUCGAGUUGUUUGGGAAUGCAGCUCAAAGUGGGUGGUAAAUUCCAUCUAAAGCUAAAUAUUGGCGAGAGACCGAUAGCGAACAAGUACAGUGAUGGAAAGAUGAAAAGAACUUUGAAAAGAGAGUGAAAAAGUACGUGAAAUUGUUGAAAGGGAAGGGCAUUUGAUCAGACAUGGUGUUUUUUGCAUGCACUCGCCUCUCGUGGGCUUGGGCCUCUCAAAAAUUUCACUGGGCCAACAUCAAUUCUGGCAGCAGGAUAAAUCAUUAAGAAUGUAGCUACUUCGGUAGUGUUAUAGCUUUUUGGAAUACUGUUAGCCGGGAUUGAGGACUGCGCUUCGGCAAGGAUGUUGGCAUAAUGGUUAAAUGCCGCCCG